ACAGCUCAAAUUUGAAAUCUGGCUCUUUCAGGGUCCGAGUUGUAAUUUGCAGAGGGUGCUUUGGUGUUGGCGGCGGUCUAAGUUCCUUGGAACAGGACAUCGCAGAGGGUGAGAAUCCCGUAUGUGGUCGCCUGCCUUCGCCGUGUAAAGCCCCUUCGACGAGUCGAGUUGUUUGGGAAUGCAGCUCUAAAUGGGAGGUAAAUUUCUUCUAAAGCUAAAUACCGGCCAGAGACCGAUAGCGCACAAGUAGAGUGAUCGAAAGAUGAAAAGCACUUUGGAAAGAGAGUCAAACAGCACGUGAAAUUGUUAAAAGGGAAGCGCUUGCAGCCAGACUUGCCUGUAGUUGCUCGCCUGGGCUUUUGCCCGGGUUACUCUUCUGCAGGCAGGCCAGCAUCAGUUUGGGCGGUCGGAUAAAGGUCCCUUUCACGUAUCUCCCUUCGGGGUUAACAUAUAGGGGGGACGUAAUGCGACCAGCCUGGACUGAGGUCCGCGCAUCUGCUAGGAUGCUGGCGUAAUGGCUGUAAGCGGCCCGUCUUGAAACACGGACCAAGGAGUCUAACAUCUAUGCGAGUGUUUGGGUGUCAAGCCCGAGCGCGUAAUGAAAGUGAACGGAGGUGGGAACCCCUCGGGGCGCACCAUCGACCGAUCCUGAUGUCUUCGGAUGGAUUUGAGUAAGAGCAUAGCUGUUGGGACCCGAAAGAUGGUGAACUAUGCUUGAAUAGGGUGAAGCCAGAGGAAACUCUGGUGGAGGCUCGCAGCGGUUCUGACGUGCAAAUCGAUCGUCAAAUUUG
rnacentral:rRNA from 1 species